UGUUCUUUCUUCAUACUCAGACUCAUCUGCUACAAAUAUGUGGAAUUUAGUACAGUUCCCUUAAAUGUGCCUUCAUUCUACUUCAAGUUCACAAAAGAAUGAUUCGCAACUCAUUAUCAUGAAUUUGCAGAGUAGUGUGCUUUAUCUAUCAGAAUCCCAGUAACCUCUUUCUUGGGCAAACAUGCACACUUUGAAGGAAUUAAACACUAAGUAUAACUUGAAUUUUUUAUUGUCAUAUCCUCCAUACAGAAUUUGUGAUUUUUUUGUGUAAUUGAACCUGACUUUGUUUCCUUCCUAUCUGAUGGUUAACAUAUUAGGAUGUUGUUCUAAUCUUAAUCUACAAAGUAAUUUCUGUUGUGGCUUAUAUCCUUGUAUAAGUGGGCAGUUGCCUUGUCACACCAAAAAUAGUAAAGCUGGGAAGAUAUCUUAGCUGACGGAAUUAGUCAAAAGGUAUUAUUGGUGGCAUCCGUGUGUCCAAACUAGCAAAAGGAUUCAGUGAGGAUUACAGCUGACAAACCAACAGGUAAGGAUGGGCUUUACUUCCUACAGCCUUUAUAUUCAGGGGCUGUUCUCAGCUGUUUUUUUUUACCUUCUCUUGGCCAUCCAUUGUGCUCCAUGACAGCUGCAUAUUCUUUUAGAGAUAUUUUAUUCUGUCUAUUGCUCAUGGAGAAGUUCUGGAUACAAAUGACACGUUACAUUGGGUCCAAGGUUCACAGAUUAGCAUGGGAAGAGUUACAUGGUAGGGAUCCUUCAGCAACUGCAUCUAUGUAAGGGCAGAUGCAUUGACACUGCUUGUGCAGUGCUGACACAUUUACAUUUAUGUUAGAAUUUGCUUUAUGGAAUAGCACUAAAGGCAUAAAAUAAAACAGGAUAUAAAUAAUUUCAGUUUAAAUUCCAUCCACAGCUUCAUGCCAUAAGGUCUUUCCCCUGAGUCUCCAAAUGAUCCUAAAUUCUGUAGCUUUUGGGGAAGCUGGGAACGGUAUUGGAACCAAACUUUGCAGCUGAAGAUCAUCCUGCUUAAUUUCUAAUAUCUGAUUGCAGAAACAGUUCUACACCUAGCAGUGGAUCUCUUCUGCAAUUUUGAUCAAAUUUUGAAGAAGUCAUUUAAAUGUUAAUAGCUGCUUAUAUAAAAAUUAAUGGUAUCUUUAUCAAAUUGGGCCAAAUGUACCUAAUAUGGAUUUGGAUCUUACUUCAGGCUCUGGUUUGAAAAUGUUAAUCAGUGAUAAAAAUGACUUACAAUAAAUUUUUUUGUGAAUUCCAAUAAUAAUGCCUGGGUACACAACCAUCAAGUAAAUGGAAUUUCUGUUAUCUUAAUCUGAAAGAGGACUGAGCCAUUAAACUGGCCUAAAUCAUGAGGAAACAUGUAAGACCCCUCAUGAAAGUGUUUGCAGCUGUGUUCUUCCACCACAUGUUGCAUGGGGAUUCCAUUAUAGUAACUUGGAGCUAUUAGUGUCACAAUAUUGCCAUCAUUACAUGUUCAAAAUAUGAGUCACAUCCGCAGCACUCCUGAAUGUUCUAAUAUCGUAAAUGUGUGUAGUGUUUUACUUUCAGUUCUGGUUUCUAAGCCUUUAGAGGGGAAACUGACUGUCCCAAUAGAGUGUGAAAUUUUAAGGGUCACAUCCGGCCUGGAGUAGUAAUACAGCCUCCUUCCUCUUGGCCACUCCCAGGGAUGCCAUUUACCUUCUCCUGCCAAGGUGAAGAGUUUUUUCUCUAAGCUCCUGUGUCUCUUAGCCUCAUCACUGCUGCCUGCUGCUUUUCACCACUUUCUAAUCUUCGUCUUUUCUCCCCAUCUCAUUAUUUAUUUCCUGUGUGCAUCUUUUCUGCCUGUGGUCCUCGUUUGAUGUGAGAGGUGGCAGUUAUCCCAUUUCCUCCUGGUGAACUGUAGAGAAUGGCACCUCCCUUUCUAGCUUUAGCUGUUUUAAAUAAUAAGGUGGUCUUUCUGAGUGAGGAGCAGCUAAUGAAUUGUUAGCCCUUCAUAAUGGUAUGUGGUGUUACUUCUCCCAAGUAACAAGUGCUAGGACAAGAGGAAAUGGCCUCAAGCUGUGCCAAGGGAGGUUUAGACUGGGUAUUAGGGAAAAUUUCUUCACUGAGAGGGUGCUAAGGCAUUGGAACAGGCUGCCCAGGGAAGUGGUGGAGUCACCAUCCCUGGAAGUGUUCAAAAAAUGUGUAGAUGAGGCCCUUAGUGACCUGGUUUAGUGGUGGUCUUGGCAGUGCUGGGGUAAUGGUUGGACUUGAUGAUCUUAAAGGUCUUUUCCAACCUAGUUGGUUCUACGAUUUAUUUUUUUUUUUCUUUCAAUAGACAUUUCAGGAUAAGUGUGUUUAAAUAUAUAAAAUACAGUCCCAGAAGAGCAUUAGAGAACUUUAAGAAGGUCAUAUCUUUCCUGGGAAAAAUAAUAGGUGUAGCAAAAAUCAUUUCAUCUACCUUGUGGCAUAGAAUACAUACUCUAUUACAGGGCGAGGGGGUGGUGGUCCAGAAAUAUUCUGAAGUAGUUCAUAUAUUCUGCUUUCCAGGAAUCUUCGCAUUUCCAGGAACUGCUGGAAAACAAAGUAGUUUGUUUGGGCAACAGUGGAUAGGUGAUUGAAUGAAAAUUGUUGUGGAGAAUAGGUGCAGUGUUCAUUCUGCUUCUCUGUGCAGUUUUUAAGCCUCUUUUACAUAAGCUGUUUUUAAAAAGAAUUAAAAGCCAUAGAGCAGCAAGAAACUUUUUUACCUUUUUUAUAUGCAUAGAUUUUGUAAGGAGUAAAUAGUCUUAGCAGCUGCUCUAAAUCCUUCAAUUUGUACAAGUUGUGAUCAUGAUUGUGUAGUAGAAGUUACAUUCCUGCUUGUGCUUAAAGAAUGUGUUUAUGUAGAAACAGCAUGUUUUAUUAUGAAGUGUGUAGCAUUCAAAAGCAUGUAAGCAAAUUUCCACACUUUUGAUCUUAAUGUUUAGGGUUUAAAAUCAUCUUUUAAUCUCUGAAU